rnacentral:rRNA from 1 species
AGAGUUUGAUCAUGGCUCAGACGACGCUGCGCGUGCCUACACAUGCAGUCGAACGAGAUACUUUGAAGCCUGCGAAGAGUAUCUUAGUGGCGACGGGUGAGUAACGCGUGGGUAAUCUGCCCAUAAGCGGGGAACAACAGUUGGAAACGACUGCUAAUACCGCAUAAACUGCCUAAGGGCAGGAAAGGUGGCCUCUGAAUAUGCUGCCGCUUAUGGAUGAGCCCGCGUCUGAUUAGCUGGUUGGUGGGGUAAAGGCCUACCAAGGCGACGAUCAGUAGCCGGCGUGAGAGGGUGAACGGCCACACUGGGACUGAGACACGGCCCAGACUCGUACGGGAGGCAGCAGUGGGGAAUAUUGCGCAAUGGGGGAAACCCUGACGCAGCGACGCCGCGUGAGCGAAGAAGGCCUUAGGGUUGUAAAGCUCUGUUUUAGGGGACGAAAGCUAUAGGGAGAAAUAUGCCCUGUAAAUGACGGUACCCUAAGAGGAAGCCCCGGCUAACUACGUGCCAGCAGCCGCGGUAAGACGUAGGGGGCGAGCGUUGUCCGGAAUUACUGGGCGUAAAGAGCACGUAGGCGGGAACUUAAGUCAGGUGUGAAAGACCGUGGCUCAACCACGGGUAUGCAUUUGAAACUGGGUUUCUUGAGGGCAGGAGAGGAAAGCAGAAUUCCUGGUGUAGCGGUGAAAUGCGUAGAAAUCAGGAGGAAUACCAGUGGCGAAGGCGGCUUUCUGGACUGACCCUGACGCUGAGGUGCGAAAGCGUGGGUAGCAAACAGGAUUAGAUACCCUGGUAGUCCACGCCGUAAACGAUGGAUACUAGGUGUGGGAGGUAUCGACCCCUUCCGUGCCGCAGCUAACGCAAUAAGUAUCCCGCCUGGGGAGUACGGUCGCAAGGCUGAAACUCAAAGGAAUUGACGG